GUCCGAUUCGGCCGGACAUAUGAUGGCCACCAUACACUCUGCCAGCGACCGGUUUAUAUGGCGGCAUGCUAAGUCCCUCUCCCUGCCGGCCGCAAACCGGCGGUGACACCCAGUUAAGGCCGUGUACAGCCGAUUGCAGUCACCUCCAACUGAGGGUUCUCUGCUCGACAUAGUCCUCUGUCUCCGAUGGAUUGUUAGAUCUGGGAAGGCUUUGAAGAACAAUUUGGAGAAAUAUAUUGCUGCUACAAUUUUGUGAUGAACUUUUCGCAGGACUCCUUUCAAACUAA
rnacentral:misc_RNA from 1 species